rnacentral:rRNA from 1 species
CCUACGGGAGGCAGCAGUGGGGAAUAUUGGGCAAUGGAUGCAACUCUUACCCAGCAAUGCCGCGUGAAUGAAGAAGGUCUUCGGAUUGUAAAGUUCUUUAAUUGGGGACGAAAAAAAUGACGGUACCCAAGGAAUAAGCCCCGGUUAACUACGUGCCAGCAGGCGCGGUAAUCCGUAGGGGGCAAGCGUUGUUCGGAAUGACUGGUCGUAAGGGGUGUGUAGGCGGUGUAGCAAGUUAGAAGUGAAAUACCUAGGGCUUAACUAAGGUGCUGCUUCUAAAACUGCUAUACUUGAGUGCAGUAGAGGAAAGUGGAAUUCCUAGUGUAGCGGUGGAAUGCGUAGAUAUUAGGAGGAACAUCAGUGGCGAAGGCGACUUUCUGGACUGUAACUGACGCUGAGGCACGAAAGUGUGGGGAGCAAACAGGAUUAGAUACCCCUGUAGUC